GGACCUGACUGCUAUCGGAUUGAUACUAAGCCAUGCGAGUCAUUGUAGCAAUACAAGGCAGACGGCUCAGUAACGCGUAGUCAACCUACCCUAUGGACGGGAAUAACCUCGGGAAACUGAGUAUAAUGCCCGAUAGAACAUUAUGCCUGGAAUGGUUUAUGUUCCAAAUGAUUUAUCGCCGUAGGAUGGGACUGCGGCCUAUCAGUUUGUUGGUGAGGUAAUGGCCCACCAAGACUAUUACAGGUACGGGCUCCGAGAGGAGUGGCCCGGAGAUGGGUACUGAGACACGGACCCAGGCCCUAUGGGGCGCAGCAGGCGAGAAAACUUUGCAAUGUGCGAAAGCACGACAAGGUUAAUCCGAGUGGUUUCUGCUAAAGGAACCUUUUGUCAGUCCUAGAAACACUGAUGAAUAAGGGGUGGGCAAGUUCUGGUGACG
rnacentral:rRNA from 1 species